GGAACUUAAAUGUCCCGUGAAUUGGGACAGAUGAAUCAGAUCGCAGAACCCAGGGGGUUGUAGCGAAUCUGGUAACUAACUAACUAACUAUGGUUUCAACUAAUUGUAUGCUUAUAGAUUUUACUUAUUAACAUCAAUUAAAUUAGCUUUUGUAUGAGACAUGUGUGCUUCAUGUAUGCAAGAUGUUUUGCUAACAUUUUAAGGAAAAUUCAUGUUUUCACAAUCUGAUUUGGUUGAUUAUAGUUCGAUUGGUCCAAUUC
rnacentral:misc_RNA from 1 species